GACGAACGCUGGCGGCGUGCUUAACACAUGCAAGUCGAACGGAAAGGCCCUGCUUUUGUGGGGUGCUCGAGUGGCGAACGGGUGAGUAACACGUGAGUAACCUGCCCUUGACUUUGGGAUAACUUCAGGAAACUGGGGCUAAUACCGGAUAGGAGCUCCUGCUGCAUGGUGGGGGUUGGAAAGUUUCGGCGGUUGGGGAUGGACUCGCGGCUUAUCAGCUUGUUGGUGGGGUAGUGGCUUACCAAGGCUUUGACGGGUAGCCGGCCUGAGAGGGUGACCGGCCACAUUGGGAAUGAGGUACGGCCCAGACCCCUACGGGGGGGAGGAGGGGGGAAUAUUGCAAAAUGGGCGGAAGCCUGAUGCAGCAACGCCGGGGGCGGGAUGACGGCCUUCGGGUUGGAAACGGCUUUCGCCUGUGACGAAGCGUGAGGGACGGUAAUGGGUAAAGAAGCACCGGCUAACUACGG
rnacentral:rRNA from 1 species